UACAGAGGUCUCAAGCGUUGUUCGGAUUCAUUGGGCGUAAAGGGUGCGUAGGUGGCGCUGUAAGUCGGGUGUGAAAUUUCGGAGCUUAACUCCGAAACUGCAUUCGAUACUGCGGUGCUUGAGGACUGGAGAGGAGACUGGAAUUCAUGGUGUAGCAGUGAAAUGCGUAGAGAUCAUGAGGAAGACCAGUGGCGAAGGCGGGUCUCUGGACAGUUUCUGACACUGAGGCACGAAGGCCAGGGGAGCAAACGGG
rnacentral:rRNA from 1 species